GAUGAACGCUGGCGGCGUGCCUAACACAUGCAAGUCGAACGGAAAGGCCCUGCUUUUGUGUUGUGCUCGAGGGGCGAACGGGUGUGUAACAUGUGAGUAACCUGCUCUUGACUUUGGGAUAACUUCAGGAAACUGGUGCUAAUACCGGAUAGGAACUCCUGCUGCAUGUCGGGGGUUGGAAAGUUUCGGCGGUUGGGGAUGGACUCGCGGGUUAUCAGCUUGUUGGUGGGGUAGUGGCUUACCAAGGCUUGGACGGGUAGCCGGCCUGAGAGGGUGACCGGCCAACGUGGGACUGAGCUACGGCCGAGACUCGUACGGGAGACAGCUGUGGGGAGUAUUGCCUGAUGGAGCGAAGCCUGAUGCAGCAACGCCGCGUGCGGGAUGGCGGCCUUCGGGUUGUAAACCACUUUCGCCUGUAACGGAGCGUGAGUGACGGUAAUGGAUGAAUAAGCACCGGCUAACUACGUG
rnacentral:rRNA from 1 species